rnacentral:lncRNA from 1 species
GAAUGGAUUGCCGCCCCUAUUUCAAACUGAAGUCCUAUAAACUGACUGGUAUUCGAAUUUGUUAAAAGAAAUAAUUGGUAUCUCUGACUCAUAUUGAUUCAAUACCGUAAUGCCGAAAAACAAUCAUUUGUUUCCGCGAAUUCCGAACAGCUAGAAAUAUAUUCCCGAGUUUCAAUUUGAGUAACUCGAAUAAUUCAAGCCCUUUCCAUGUCCGAUUUUCUCCCACACGAGAAAUGUAGCAUUCGUACAUCAGCUGAAUAAUACGACUGAAUUAUUCGGGUUACAAUUUGUGUAAAUCCCGAAUGCACAUAAAAGUAAAGGUCCAGCCCGACUUUCGGAAAUGGACUGUUGUAGAUUUCAGAUUGAUUUCCAGAAAUAAAAAUCAUACAAAAAUGUUUCACGC